GAUGAACGCUGGCGGCGUGCCUAAUACAUGCAAGUCGAGCGAACAGACGAGGAGCUUGCUCCUCUGACGUUAGCGGCGGACGGGUGAGUAACACGUGGAUAACCUACCUAUAAGACUGGGAUAACUUCGGGAAACCGGAGCUAAUACCGGAUAAUAUAUUGAACCGCAUGGUUCAAUAGUGAAAGACGGUUUUGCUGUCACUUAUAGAUGGAUCCGCGCCGCAUUAGCUAGUUGGUAAGGUAACGGCUUACCAAGGCAACGAUGCGUAGCCGACCUGAGAGGGUGAUCGGCCACACUGGAACUGAGACACGGUCCAGACUCCUACGGGAGGCAGCAGUAGGGAAUCUUCCACAAUGGGCGAAAGCCUGACGGAGCAACGCCGCGUGAGUGAUGAAGGUCUUCGGAUCGUAAAACUCUGUUAUUAGGGAAGAACAAAUGUGUAAGUAACUAUGUACGUCUUGACGGUACCUAAUCAGAAAGCCACGGCUAACUACGUG
rnacentral:rRNA from 1 species